GACGAACGCUGACGGCGUGCUUAACACAUGCAAGUCGAAGGGAGUGGCGAACGGGUGAGUAACACGUGAGUAACCUGCCCUUUUAUUUGGUAUAAGCCUGGGAACCUGGGUCUAAUACUGGAUGGAUUGGGUUGGGCUCGCGGCUUAUCAGCUUGUUGGUGGGGUGAUGGCUUACCAAGGCUUUGACGGGUAGCCGGCCUGAGCGGGUGGUCGGUCACACUGGAACUGGGAGACGGCCCAGACUCCUACGGGAGGCAGCAGUGGGGGAGAUUGCACAAUGGGCGAAAGCCUGACGGAGCAACGCCGCGUGAGUGAUGAAGGUCGUCGGAUCGUAAAACGCUGUUAUUAGGGAAGCGGUACCUAAUCAGAAGGCCCCGGCUAACUACGUGCCAGCAGCCGCGGUAAUAC
rnacentral:rRNA from 1 species